UCCACUUUCAAGUGCUGCUACUCUACCCUCAACUGGAGCUAAGAGAUUGUAAUGAGGCCCUCUUCAUGGAGCUUCCAAUGGGAUUGCAGAAACUCACAAUUGGAGGAUUUGAUGCACUAGAGUCCAUACCGGAGAGAUGGAUGGACUUCAACAAUUCUUGUCUUGAGGAGUUAAAAAAUACAUCUCUAUCCAGUGGUGGUCAACCUUCUACAUUAAAAAUCCUUGGCAUCAAAGAUUGUAGGAAGUUAGAGCUUCUAGUGGGCUGGAACUAUUCAUUCCUUGAAAGAUCGAAGUUAGAAAAUGGUUGUGAUUCUCUACAGUCCUUUCCAUUAAACAUAUUCCCGAAUCUGAAGUCCAUCAAACUAAAUGGAUGUAGGAAUCUAGAGUCUGUUAAUGUUCCGCAAUAACUUGAACUUGAUUUAGUGGCCUUAUCAAUAAUAAAAAUAAAAAAUUGCUCCAAUUUCGUAUCAUUUCCAAAUGGAGGAUUGUGUGCCCCAAAACUUGCUAGGUUUCAUGUCAUCAAUUGUCACAGUCUGACGUCACUACCUGACAAGAUGCACAUACUCAAUCCGUCUCUUUGGGAGUUGCAUUUGGUUCAGUGUCCAGAAGUUGAGUCGUUCCCUGAAGGAGGCUUGCCUUCCAGUCUAUUUAGUAUUUACAUCAUCGACUGUGACAGACUCGUCGCCAAUAGAAGGGGAUGGGGAUUGCAAAAUUUGCCCUCCAUUGAACACAUUAGAAUCAAAGGCAAUUGUGCAGACGUCGAGUCCUUUCCGGAGGCGAGUCUACUUCCCAGUUCCCACGAGUUUGGUUUCUCUUGAGAUGUCAACCUUUCAAAAUAUGAAAUCUUUGGAUUAUAAGGCCCUUCGACACCUCACCUCUCUUGGAUCAUUGCCGAUCUAUUCCUGCCCUAAGUUGAGGUCUAUGCAAGAAGAAGGGUUGCCUGCCUCCAUUUCUAGUCUACAGAUCUACCAAUGUGCUUUGUUAGGGAAACAGUUGCAAAACAAAAAUGGAAAAGCAUGGCGUAAGAUUGCUCACAUCCCCUAUAAGGGUUUACACGCAAUAUGGAAGUGAAUUAAGGAGGUAAUUAAGCUAUACAGCAAGCUGGCUGAUCUCUAGAAUCAUGGAAAUUAUUCUGGAUGAUUUUCUUUGUCCGUUAAGAGUGCCCAAUUUCAGUUAUAUUAUCUACAGCACAGAUGAACGACGAAAAAGGUUUGUUCCGGUGAUACGUGUUUCUGCACAUCUCCUUUCGGAUGCUCUUCCUUAAUUCCUUACGAGGUUUUUUUAAUAGAGAUAUGCUUUCUUUGCUUCGAAUCAAGUUGAUGCGUCCCAUAUGCAUUCCCAAGCUCAUCUGAAGCUCUCCUGCAGUGCUCUGCUGUGCAUCAGCAGUAUCUGAAGCUCUGGCUUUUAGUUACAACAAAAUCUUGAAAAGGCUUGGCGAUUGUGCAACUUCUUUUAUAGCUUCUCUUGUUACUUGUUCCAAUCAAGACUCGUGCCGUUUGUACACGAUCUGCCUAUGCAUGCCAUACCAAGAAACAGGGCUAGUUUCAUUCGACAGGGGUGAUCAGGCUUGCAUGCUCGUGGACAUGGCAGCAAUCUUGCAUCAGCUGCAUGUAUACCAUUCGGCUUACUCAGUUGAUAUUUGUAAUCCCUGAUAAGGAGAGACUAGAUUUCUCUCACUUUUGCAGCCAAUUAAAGGGUACAAUUGCUAAAGUUUUCUUAAAAUUAAGCUGGUUUGUUUAAAUUUGAGCUCAAAUG